AAUGUACGUGCUGCUGCCAUACUCUUUAACUAGAAGAGAUGAGCGCCAAAUCCUUCGCGUGAUUCUGUGAGAUUACAUAUAAUAAUCACUAGACACAAAAAUAGAUAAAUAUAUUCGAGUGAUGAGAAGCCGCUCAUCCGGUAGCACUCUCGAUCUCCUCGCUUUUUGAGUUAUUUCCGAAAUCACUGCUAAGCGAUAGAUGCUAGGAUAGGUUAAUAGAAGUAAGUCAUUCUGGAACAUUGAUAUACAAAAACCCAAGAUGCACAUUCAACGUCCAAAAAAUGAGCGCAACAUUCUAAAUUGUGCGCUCAUUUCAAAUAGUCUCGCGUGACGCGUCGCUCGCGUCUGGGAGCAGACGUUAAAAAUGUCAAAGUGUUCUCUGAGAAAUUGUAAAAAUACUACGUCAAGAAGGCUAAAAAAGGAUGGGAUAUCGUAUUUUCGAUUGAAAUACCGGAUGAUGGCGGUGAUACUGAAGUGUGUCCUACGAGUUCAAUGUUUAAUUUAGAAAUUGAAAAGAAAUUCAAAUCUCCUACCACUUCUCCAAGCACGUCGUCAGUUUUGGAUACACCUCGAAAAGUUCGUAUAAAAAGCGAACUUCACAAAUGCCGCAAAAGGUUAAU